UGCUAAGGGACUAGCAAAAGCUAAGUGUGGGGGAAUUUGAUAGGAGCAUUUUAAUGCGACGUUUUAACUGUUAUUUCCCUAUAUUUUCUGCGUUAUUUCCUUAAUAAAACUCUGUUUAGGAAAGUUUCCAUUCUUCGAAUGGGAAAGUUCCUAAUUGUAGAAAGUUUCCGUUUUGUUUUUGGAAUAAAUAAGCAGAAUUGAGUUCAUAAAUGGAACGAGAAGUUUCAUGAAGAUGACAUGGCAAGGAGAGAAUCAAGGAAGAGUUUUUUU
rnacentral:lncRNA from 1 species